GUUUCGGUGGUGUCACUGGUAGGCAGUUGGACUAACAAUCCAAAGGUCGUCAGUUCGAAUCCCGGGAUG
rnacentral:tRNA from 1 species